UACGUAGGGGGCAAGCGUUGUCCGGAAUCAUUGGGCGUAAAGCGCGCGUAGGCGGCCCGGUAAGUCCGUUGUGAAAGUCAAAGGCUCAACCUUUGAACGCCGAUGGAUACUGCCGGGCUAGAGUCCGGAAGAGGAGAGUGGAAUUCCUGGUGUAGCGGUGAAAUGCGCAGAUAUCAGGAAGAACACCCGUGGCGAAGGCGGCUCUCUGGUACGUGACUGACGCUGAGACGCGAAAGCGUGGGGAGCGAACAGG
rnacentral:rRNA from 1 species